UGGCGGCGUGCUUAACACAUGCAAGUCGAACGGACCUUCGGGUCAGUGGCGGACGGGUGAGUAACGCGUGAGAAUCUGCCCUCAGGAGAGGGGAUAACGGCUGGAAACGGCCGCUAAUACCCCAUAUGCCGCGAGGUGAAAUGAAUUUCGCCUGAGGAUGAGCUCGCGUCUGAUUAGCUAGUUGGUGGGGUAAAGGCCUACCAAGGCGACGAUCAGUAGCUGGUCUGAGAGGAUGAUCAGCCACACUGGGACUGAGACACGGCCCAGACUCCUACGGGAGGCAGCAGUGGGGAAUUUUCCGCAAUGGGCGAAAGCCUGACGGAGCAACGCCGCGUGAGGGAUGAAGGCCUCUGGGCUGUAAACCUCUUUUCUCAAGGGAAAGAAGAACCUGACGGUACUUGAGGAAUAAGCCACGGC
rnacentral:rRNA from 1 species